UAAGCCGGAGAUCUCUGCUUGACAGUUUAUUGUCGAAACCGCAACACACCGUCACGAAGGACCCGUCCAAGUAUCCACACUACCACACGGCAGCAGCGACGACAAAGCACUCCAACUACAACUGGUCAUCUGUAUCACCGGUGUCGUGCCAUCUCAGGUUUCCGAUCUCCGAAUCGAUUCAAACACUGAUUGAUCUCCGCCUGUACUAACGAGAAUUAACGAUGUCUUCGAGCUGCACGUCGAAAUCCACCGACUACUACUAUCAGAUGAGGCAGAAGAACAACGAGGCGGCCAGAAACAGCCGUUUCAAGAAGAAGGUCGCUGAAAUCGAAAUAUCCGCUCAAAAGCGCAAGUUGGAGGUGACUUACGUACAGUUGAAGAAAGAAAUCAAACGCAUACAAAUCGUGAAAGCUUCUUAAACAUCUUUCAGGCUUUUUCCGUGAUCAUGGCUGCAAUACAAAAAGAAAAUAUUUUAAACUGGAAAUUUUAAGUAAAAAAAUUAUGCAAAUAGAUUCUGUUGAAUUUCUAGUCAAAUGCAUUGUCCACCACUCAAUAGUUUGACUGUAAUUUCUACAGGAAUGAAAUACAAAUUUUUUUUUUUACCUAUACCUACCAAAUUUGUAAAGGACAAUAUUUUCAGGAUAAAAAUUUUUUUUAUAUAAGCUUUUAUAUUUUUAUUAUUAUUAUUAUUAUUAUUAUUAUUUUUUCCUAUUAUUAUUAUUAUUAUACUUUUUUUUUUUGUA